CUUGAUAACAUAAGAGGUCCAGCCUGCCCAGUGACUCAAUUUAACGGCCGCGGUAUCCUAACCGUGCAAAGGUAGCGUAAUCACUUGUCUUCUAAAUAAAGACUAGUAUGAAAGGCACCACGAGAACUAAACUGUCUCCUUUUUCUAAUCAGUGAACCUAAUCUCCCUGUGAAAAAGCAGGGAUUUAAUAAUAAGACGAGAAGACCCUAUGGAGCUUUAAACACAUAACACUGCCCUUUUACACCACAAUGUUCCCAUGCACAAUGAUUAAGAGUUUUUAGUUGGGGUGACUACGGAGUAAACCCACCCUCCGCGAUGAAUCUUAAACAAGCGACAGCUUUACACAUCAGCAAACUGACACCAUUGACCCAAUUUAUUGAUCAACGAAC
rnacentral:rRNA from 2 species